UUUAGUUUUAAACUACAUUAUCUAAUUUUAGGAUGCUGUUACUUGGAUUAAACGUUCAAGGAUGUGGCUCACCUCACUUCGAAAUGUUUGGUCAUGCAUGUGCAUUUCACUUCUAUAUUCUUGGUGCAUUCUAUUUGGUGUUGUUGUCUAGUCAAAAGAACUCAUUGAUUUCUAGUUGGCUGGGCACACAAAUUAAGAGCUGCCCAUAUGGGCUUCCUGACAACUUUAUGUUGAUAGUCAGAUCUCAGCCUUUGAUCUUUCCUAAUCAGUUUGUAGUAUGACAAGUGUCUUUGGUAGGUGAAAAACAAACUGAAGCUUUUGGGGUUAAUAUCCCCAGCUAGG
rnacentral:lncRNA from 1 species